CUUGCCCUUGAACAUUUUCAUGUUUCUUACCUUUUCUUUGGCAUCUUGAACAUGAUUCUAACAUCCUUCACACGCAGAAUAAAAUCUAAGGUCAGAAAGCGAGCUUUCAUUCAUACAGACUAAGACGUCGGAAGACCAGUUCAUGUCCCUGGUCAAUAAUGUAAAUUAUAGCAUGAUUCUCACAAAGAGAGAUGGUGUGGAAAUUCGCAAAUGAAUUUAUCAGACUAUUUUGUGGAGCUGGUGAAAUUCUGCAAGGAAGCAUGGCAGCCGAGUUGCCAAAAGCUGAGCAAACACUUGCUAGGUGCCACGACAAACUCCAUGGUAACUAAACAAAUACUUACAUUGUGUGCCUGCUAAUUUUCUGUGUUUUCCUAUCAUUGCUCUCUCUAAAGCUAUAAAUUAGUGUUUUGCAAGUAAGAAACACUGUGCAGGGGACACUGUGCAAGUGCAGCAGGUGUGGCACCUGUUGCACCUACACUACAAGCUAUGUCAGUUGCAUCAGAAAAUGAGUGGACUGAGAAAGCGGUCGAAGAGGCUGUUUGCUCUGACCAACCAGCUCAGCAGAUGGCAGAAUUUUCGCCGUGUGAUGGUGGGCUGUUCCAUCCUUCCAACAAUAUAUGCAUCACACAAGGUCAAGCAGCAAAGCUUUUAAAAAAAAAAAACUAUUUUGGUAAGGGAUGCUGCCCAAGUUGUGUGGCGAUGUGAUACGCUUGCACAGAGGAGUGUAAAUGGAAGGCUGGCUCCCAUGAAAGCGAACAGUAGGCAGGAGCCAUCCAAACAGCUUACACCAGAAAAAGUGGACGUUGUUUAAGGUUAGUCUGUUUAUUUUUGUCACAAUACUGCAUUUUAAUUUGAAAGUGUUUAAUGCUUUUCAAUUUUCUUUUGUUGCAUAUUCCUGCAGGAAGCCUGGCUCACUGGGGCCAGGUCAACAAUAUUGAUACUACACUGGCCCACCAUAACGUGAUGCAGACUCUAAGUGAGAAAAUCCAACUCUGCAAAAAAAAAAAACCUGCGUAUGAAGUAAUGUACAGGCGAGUAUACAUGAAUAAACGGAGUCAAACAAAG